CUACGGGGUGCUCCAGUGAGGAAUAUUGCACAAUGGGGGGAACCCUGAUGCAGCAACGCCGCGUGGAGGAUGACGCAUUUCGGUGUGUAAACUCCUUUUAUAUGUCAAGAAAAUGACGGUAGCAUAUGAAUAAGCACCGGCUAACUCCGUGCCAGCAGCCGCGGUAAUACGGAGGGUGCAAGCGUUACUCGGAAUCACUGGGCGUAAAGGACGCGUAGGCGGGCUUGUAAGUCAGGUGUGAAAUCCUACAGCUUAACUGUAGAACUGCACUUGAAACUACGAGCCUAGAGUAUGGGAGGGGCAGAUGGGAUUAGUGGUGUAGGGGUAAAAUCCGUAGAUAUCACUAGGAAUACCUAAAGCGAAGGCGAUCUGCUGGAACAUAACUGACGCUAAGGCGUGAAAGCGUGGGGAGCAAACAGGAUUAGAUUACCCCAGUAGUC
rnacentral:rRNA from 1 species